rnacentral:rRNA from 1 species
GAUGAACGCUGGCGGCGUGCCUAAUACAUGCAAGUCGAGCGAAGAGACGAGGAGCUUGCUCGUGUGACGUUAGCGGCGGCCAAGUGAGUAACACGAGGAUAACCUACCUAUACGUCUGUCAUAACUACCGGAAGCCGGAGCGAAUACCGGGUAAUAUAUUGAAUCUCAUGGAUCAUUAGUGAAAGAAGGAUUUGGUUUCACUUGGAGAUGGAUCCGCGCCGGAUUAGCUGGUUGGUAAGGUAACGGCUUACCAAGGCAACGAUGCGUAGCCGGCCUGAGAGGGUGAUGGGCCACCACGGAACUGAGACACGGUCCAGAAUCCUACGGGAGGCAGCAGUAGUGAAUCUUCCUCAAUGGGCGGAAGCCUGCCGGAGCAACGCCGCGUGAGUGAUGAUGGUCUUCGGAUCGUAAAAAUCUGUUAUUAGGGAAGAAGCAGGGUGUAAGUAACUAUGCAUGUCUUGACGGUACCUAAUCAAAAAGCCACGGCUAACUACGUG